ACUGAGUGGCGGACGGGUGAGUAACGCGUGGGUAACCUGCCCCAUAGAGGGGGACGACAGUUGGAAACGACUGCUAAUACCGCAUAGUAAGGAACUGCCGCAUGACGGUUUCUUGAAAGAUUUAUCGCUAUGGGAUGGACCCGCGUCUGAUUAGCUAGUUGGUAAGGUAACGGCUUACCAAGGCGACGAUCAGUAGCCGGCUUGAGAGAGUGAACGGCCACAUUGGGACUGAGACACGGCCCAAACUCCUACGGGAGGCAGCAGUGGGGAAUAUUGCACAAUGGGGGAAACCCUGAUGCAGCGACGCCGCGUGAGUGAAGAAGUAUUUCGGUAUGUAAAGCUCUAUCAGCAGGGAAGAUAAUGACGGUACCUGACUAAGAAGCCCCGGCUAACUACGUGCCAGCAGCCGCGGUAAUACGUAGGGGGCAAGCGUUAUCCGGAUUUACUGGGUGUAAAGGGUGCGCAGGUGGCAGGGCAAGUCAGAUGUGAAAGCCCGGGGCUCAACCCCGGUAUUGCAUUUGAAACUGUCCGGCUAGAGUGCANGAGAGGUAAGCGGAAUUCCUAGUGUAGCG
rnacentral:rRNA from 1 species